rnacentral:rRNA from 1 species
AGAGUUUGAUCAUUGCUCAUGAUGAACGCUGACAGAAUGCUUAACACAUGCAAGUCAACUUGAACUUCGGUUUGGGUGGCGGACGGGUGAGUAACGCGUAAAGAACUUGCCUCACAGAUAGGGACAACAUUUGGAAACGAAUGCUAAUACCUGAUAUUAUGAUUUUAGGGCAUCCUAGGAUUAUGAAAGCUAUAUGCGCUGUGAGAGAGCUUUGCGUCCCAUUAGCUAGUUGGAGAGGUAACGGCUCACCAAGGCGAUGAUGGGUAGCCGGCCUGAGAGGGUGAUCGGCCACAAGGGGACUGAGACACGGCCCUUACUCCUACGGGAGGCAGCAGUGGGGAAUAUUGGACAAUGGACCAAGAGUCUGAUCCAGCAAUUCUGUGUGCACGAUGAAGUUUUUCGGAAUGUAAAGUGCUUUCAGUUGGGAAGAAAAAAAUGACGGUACCAACAGAAGAAGUGACGGCUAAAUACGUGCCAGCAGCCGCGGUAAUACAUAUGUCACAAGCGUUAUCCGGAUUUAUUGGGCGUAAAGCGCGUCUAGGUGGUUAUGUAAGUCUGAUGUGAAAAUGCAGGGCUCAACUCUGUAUUGCGUUGGAAACUGUGUAACUAGAGUACUGGAGAGGUAAGCGGAACUACAAGUGUAGAGGUGAAAUUCGUAGAUAUUUGUAGGAAUGCCGAUGGGGAAGCCAGCUUACUGGACAGAUACUGACGCUGAAGCGCGAAAGCGUGGGUAGCAAACAGGAUUAGAUACCCUGGUAGUCCACGCCGUAAACGAUGAUUACUAGGUGUUGGGGGUCGAACCUCAGCGCCCAAGCAAACGCGAUAAGUAAUCCGCCUGGGGGAGUACGUACGCAAGUAUGAAACUCAAAGGAAUUGACGGGGACCCGCACAAGCGGUGGAGCAUGUGGUUUAAUUCGACG